UACGGAAGGGGCAAGCGUUGUUCGGAAUCAUUGGGCGUAAAGGGCGCGCAGGUGGCUCUGUAUGUCUGCCGUGAAAGCAUACAGCUCAACUGUAUUGUGUCGGUAGAAACUGCAGGACUUGAGGCUGGGAGGGGCUGGUGGAACUCCCUGUGUAGCGGUGAAAUGCGUAGAGAUGGGGGAGAACACUCGUGGCGAAGGCGGCCAGCUAGACCAGUUCUGACACUGAGGCGCGACAGCGUGGGGAGCAAACAGG
rnacentral:rRNA from 1 species